AGCAGCAGCCACGGUAAUACGAAGGGUGCAAGCGUUACUCGGAAUUACUGGGCGUAAAGCGUGCGUAGGUGGUGGUUUAAGUCCGUUGUGAAAGCCCUGGGCUCAACCUGGGAAUUGCAGUGGAUACUGGAUCACUAGAAUGUGGUAGAGGAUAGUGGAAUUUCCGGUGUAGCAGUGAAAUGCGUAGAGAUCGGAAGGAACAUCUGUGGCGAAGGCGACUAUCUGGGCCAACACUGACACUGAGGCACGAAAGCGUGGGGAGCAAACAGGAUUAGAUACCCCGGUAGUCCCUGUCUCUUAUAC
rnacentral:rRNA from 1 species